UGUAAACAGCUUACUCAGGAACUGAGGAAGCAGAAUGUUCAAGGCAACCAGAAGAUUGAGUCCAUCCUGAACAUAGAGACAACACAGAUACUAGCAAAGCUGGAUAAUAUUGCUAGAGGAUUAGUUAAUGCAACUCAGCAAGGACUAGUGAUGGAUAUGUUCCAGGUUCCACAGCUAGGAGUAUGUCAGGAAGAAAAGCCUCAUCAUUAAAAGUGUUACAGAGGCACUAAAGGAAACUGAUGGCAUUGUUUUUGUGUGGGUGAUGAGAAUAAGAGUGAGGAGGAGAUAGAUGAUAGUCGAGACAAUCAGGAUGUCCAUACUGUCACUCCAGGGAAGAAGAAGUCAUUUCUGAUCCUAGAUCUACUGUGGAAGAUUCUACAUGCAAGUGACAAGAGAUACAAAAAAAUCCCAAAGACAUCAUGAAAAAUUAAUUUAAUCAACAGACAUUGUGGAAAAGAUUUUCUAAAAAAAUUGUAAUAGGACCUUAGAGAAGUGUAAAACACCAAGGAUAUAAUCUUGUUAAAAACAGAGAAAAUCUUGAUUAACAUUCUACUUUCAAUUGAUAUACUUUGAGAAAUAUGAAAAACACUGUUUUAGAGCCACAGUAAUGGAGGACAUUGAAUUCUUUGCAGCAGUUUUAUCAUUAGGCCAUUCCAAUUUUUUUCUGUGUGUAGUGUCUGCAGAUGGAUUGGUAUUGAGGUCAUGCAAAUUAAGAACAAACACAAAAUAAAAUUGACAAAUACAAAUCUUUGACAAGCAAUUUACUCUUCUGGGAUCAGCAUCUCUCUUUUUUUAAAAGUGAUGUGCUAAAUUUUUUUUUUUUUUUUUUUUUUUUUUUUUUUUUUUUGUUUCAUUAAACUAGUAGUAGUAGUAGUUUAAUUUAGCUAUAAUAUGAGGAAAAUUCUCAAAUGAUGCUAAAGGAGUUAUAGAACUUUGCGUAAAAUGUUGUUUUUUCCCCUUUUGGUUUGUGAUUUUUUUUUGGAAGGAAAGAAAUGUUUUGAAAUUAAGGUUGGAUGCUAAACAAAGAAAAAAACUUGGAAUGGCCUCAUAUAACCUACAUGGACUAAACUUGCAUAAAUGAAGAGUGCUUAAGAAGCUGUGCAUGAUGUAUGUAGGAAAUGAUUUUGAAGUAUUAAAUAUUUUAUG